rnacentral:rRNA from 1 species
UACGUAGGGGGCAAGCGUUGUCCGGAAUCAUUGGGCGUAAAGAGCGUGUAGGCGGCUCGGUAAGUCCGCUGUGAAAGCCCAGGGCUCAACCCUGGAAUGCCGGUGGAAACUGUCGAGCUAGAGUCCGGAAGAGGCGAGUGGAAUUCCUGGUGUAGCGGUGAAAUGCGCAGAUAUCAGGAGGAACACCGGCGGUGUAGACGGCGUGCUAGACCAUAACUGACGCUGAGGCACGAAAGCGUGGGUAGCAAACAGG